rnacentral:rRNA from 1 species
UACGUAGGGGCCUAGCGUUGUCCGGAUUUAUUGGGCGUAAAGAGCUCGUAGGCGGUUUGGUUAGUCAGGUGUGAAAUCUCCACGCUCAACGUGGAGGGGCCACCUGAUACUGCCAUGACUUGAGUCCGGUAGGGGAGUGUGGAAUUCCCGGUGUAGCGGUGAAAUGCUUAGAUAUGACAUAGAACACCAAUUACGAAGGCAGCUUACUACACAAUGAUUGACGCUGAGGCACGAAAGCGUGGGGAUCAAACAGG